rnacentral:rRNA from 1 species
CGCAAGCCUGAUGCAGCCAUGCCGCGUGUGUGAAGAAGGCUCUAGGGUUGUAAAGCACUUUCAGUAGGGAGGAAAAGCUUAAAACUAAUAAUUUUAAGCCUUGACGUUACCUACAGAAGGAGCACCGGCAAACUCCGUGCCAGCAGCCGCGGUAAUACGGAGGGUGCAAGCGUUAAUCGGAAUUACUGGGCGUAAAGCGCGCGUAGGUGGUUUUAUAAGCUAGCUGUGAAAGCCCCGGGCUCAACCUGGGAACUGCAGUUAGAACUGUUUGACUAGAGUAUGAUAGAGGGUGUCGGAAUUUCC